UACAGAGGGGGCAAGCGUUGUUCGGAAUUACUGGGCGUAAAGGGCGCGUAGGCGGCCUUCUAAGUCGAACGUGAAAUCCCCGGGCUCAACCCGGGAACUGCGUCCGAUACUGGAAGGCUUGAAUCUGGGAGAGGGAUGUGGAAUUCCAGGUGUAGCGGUGAAAUGCGUAGAUAUCUGGAGGAACACCGGUGGCGAAGGCGACAUCCUGGACCGGUAUUGACGCGUGAGGCGCGAAA
rnacentral:rRNA from 1 species